GAGGGUGUAGCUCAGUGGUAGAGCGUGUGCCUAGCGUUCACGAGGUCCUGGGUUCCAUCCCCAGGACCUCUA
rnacentral:tRNA from 1 species